UGGGUAACCCACCCCGAUGACCGGGACAACCCGAGGAAACUCGGGCUAAUACCGGAUGAGCUCCUCCCCCUUGAGGGAGAGGAGGAAAGAUAGCUUCGGCCUUCGCAUCGGGACGGGCCCGCGGCGCAUUAGCUUGUUGGUGGGGUAAAGGCCUACCAAGGCGACGAUGCGUAGCUGGUCUGAGAGGACGAUCAGCCACACUGGGACUGAGACACGGCCCAGACUCCUACGGGAAGCAG
rnacentral:rRNA from 1 species